GUAUUAUAGAGAAUGGUGAUUCAUGUAUGCAAUGAAGCCAUGUAGUAGUUUGAGCCAUCCUAUCUCCUAUCUGCUUUCCAUCUUGUUGACUCUAUAUGCAAUUAUUAUAGGAAUCACUACACCAGAACUUCCAAGAUUUGUCAUGUCCGAGUUUUGUCAUCUGCAAUUCAAUCAUCAUUCAUGAAUUUUAAUUUCAUGCAAACUAAUUGUGAACCAUCACUAUAGGAACCAUCAUUAGGUUAGAUUUUUCAAUUACAAGAAGGAUUUAGUCUCCAAGGAAGUCACCGAGAAAUCUCACUGGCUAAUAUCGAACUCUAUAGUAUGAUAUGGGUGCUCAUGUGCCUAAAAUAUAUCAUUGGUUUUGUAAUUCAUUUAUCACUGAUUCACAUGAGUUAGUCUAUAGCUAGCAGGUUAGAUUACUAAUAAAAGCUUCUCUUUCCAUGCACAUGUUGAAAGAUGUACUUGGUACUAUUAAUUUUAUGUAAUAGGUAGGGUUAACAAAUAAGUUCGUUAUAUAAAUCCUAAUCCGUUUAAAUAGUUAAUUUUCUUGAUCACAAUAUUUAAAAAGAUUGAUAUAGCCAUUUUUAAUUUAAUUUUCCUUUUAAUAUUUUUACCAAUAUGUAUCCCAUAAAACAACCUAUAACCCUAUAUAUCCUCUUGGAAAUUAUUGUCUUGUAUCUAGGGUAUUUCGAGCUGCCCCUCUACACCUGUACACAGUACGAUCUUUUUUUAUGUUCACACAGUACGAUCUUAAUUUCUCUCUUUACUAUAUCCAGUGUGUGUCAAAUACGGUUAUUCGAUUAAAUUUUCUGGUUAAUCACUUUGAACACCUUGUUAAUUUUUCUACAAUUGUUCUUAAGUCCUAGUUGGGAUGAUUUUAAGUUUGAUUCUUUGAUGUGUUAAAAAAAAAGUUUGAUUCUUUGGAUAUAUAUAGAUUUUUAAUUUCUUUCUAGGAGCUUGCAUGAUUGAUAUAUGUUUUCCACUUUUCCAGUGUUGUAAAAAUAAUGAUAUCCCAAUGUUGGACAACAUCGUAUGAUCUAUUGUUGCUGCUAAAGCUGUUUUAUCUUUUGUUUAUCUCUUCUCUGGGCAAUAAUGAAGACUCUUUUUCUCGAAAGAUGGUUACACCAAAGCUAACGUAUGCACUUGAGUACGUCAAGACUGUGAAGGAUAAAUUCAAAGAUACACGUCAAAAAUUUGAUGAGUUUCUUGAAGUCAUUGUAGAUUUCAGAGCUGAGAAGUAUAGCUUCUUGUUCCUUGUGAAUGCUAGAUUGUGCACCUUCUUUAGUUCAAUUUCUGUCUACACAAUUACUCUUUAUGAUAUCUGAUAGUAUAUAUUUUAUGGUAGAAUUGAUACUUACGGUGUCAUAUUAAAAGUGAAAGAACUCUUCAAGGACCAACAAGAGCUGCUUUUAGGUUUCGAUUCAUUCUUGCCAGAGGGUUGGAAAAUAACCCUCGGGGUUGACCAAACUCCACCAAAAGAGCCGGUCACGUUCGAGGAAGCUGUUAUUUUUGUCAAAAAUGUCAAGGUAGAGAUUUUAAUAAGGUGUAACUAAGCCAAACUAUAAUUAAUAUUCUCUUUUUCCUAUUUGCUACUUGCAUCUAAAGUAUCAUUUUUGCUUUUUCUGCAGGCAAGGUUUCAGGAUAAUGAUCGACCAUACAGAUCUUUUUUAGACAGUUUGAAUAUGUACAGGAAUAACAACAGGUCCCUUACUGAGGUCCUCGAGGAGUUGGCUUUUCUUUUCCGGGACCAUUACGAUUUGUUUGUUGAGUUCACAAGGUUUACCCGUCAGUAGUUUUGGACUACCGUUUAUCUAAUUAUUGAACAAUAACAGGACAAUUAAAAAGAAAUAGCAAAGUACUUAAUCCAAAUACGUUCGGUUUGGUUUGAUGUGCCGUUAUUAUGAUAUAUUGACGUUUAACUUGGUUGAUCCAUUACCUAUAUAUAUGUGCGCAUCAGUAUAUAUGCUUACUUUUCUCUCAGUUAUUCUAUAACCAAAAACCCAUUACGUGUUUGGGCGGUCUAACUAUAUAUUACGUAGCUGCAAAAGGAACAUAUCAUUUCUUCAUACCUGCACUCAGACCACGAGAGAUCCUUGAUGAAAGAAAAUACAGACAAAUGAAGACUAGCUAUAGUGACAAAAAAGAUAACAGAAAAACAAGUUUUAACAAGGAGAGGUUUGGAGUUAUUUUAAAAUAAAAAGGUAACAGGAAAAAUAAAUUUCGUGUUUUUAAAAUUUGAGAACUUUACAUGAGAUGCUACUUUUCAUUGGAAGUGAUUCGGAUUUAAAAUACUAUCUAGGAUUUCCUCUUCAAGGAAGAAAAAUUACAAAGUCUCGAUUGCUUAUUCAAUCUUGCUGUGUUUACACUGUCCGUCCAGUAAAGAGCCCAACUCCAUUGUAUUGUAAACUAAAAGCCGAUGGAUUAGGGCUUUUGAAAGUAUAUCAUGGGCCGUUAAACAAGGAAAAAAGUAACAUGAAAGAAUGAACGCUCUCAAUUACAAAAUCAAAGGGGCGUUCCGAGAAUUGAACUCGGGACCUCUCGCACCCUAAGCGAGAAUCAUACCACUAGACCAAACGCCCAAUUUGCAAGAAAAUAUCACUUAUAAUUUAAAAUAGUAAGACUGAACAAUCAUCAAAUAAACAAAUUAAUCUUUUUAGCAAAUCUAACCUAUACUAAAAGGGUUAUAUGAGGAGUAGGGAAGCUGUCCACGUCAGCCAAUUAAAUCAUCCAAUCACAGAUAGCAUUUUGACCACGUCAUUGAGGCAAUCUCGAGACUGAUUAAUAGUGGGCUUAUUUGUGUGGGUUUAAUUUAUUUUCCCAUGGCCCCAAAUUUCUCACAUUUAGCAAAAACCUAAUCUUCCUCCCAACUGAUUAAUCGUCUCCGGCCUUUCCUCUCCGUCGUUGUCGUUUCACUUCUGAGUCAUUUAACAUUUUCUUUACUCUCUCUUCUUUUAUGGUUUCGUUCCAACUCCCUACGUUUCUCCUCCUAUAUAAAGUCUUUUGUAUCAACCAAAAACCUACAGCCUCACGGAAAAAGACAAAACUACUGCUGCUAAAUCCACCAGACACUCUCCCGUCUACAGCUGUGCAGCCGAGGAGGUUUCAAGCAGUGGUUCCAUGGUCGGUGCUUUAGUGGCUACCUCCGACUGGUUUACUGAUGGCAGCCAGGGUUUGCAAACAAUGACAGAGACAGAGGAAGAUGUGGAAACCUGCGGAGGAGUAGGGUUCCGAACGGAGCUCAAAGUAUUCAUAUCAGCUUCCUAAGGUAUGGAUUUUAAAGUCUGUAAUAAAUUUGAAACUUCUUGCUACGGUUCAAGGUGUUGUUGUCUACCUUAUGCAGCAGGACAACGUCAAACGUUUUCCUUCCUUUGACCAUUCUAAUUAUAGCAUAUCUUCAGGUCGAUUAAGGACUAGAUUCACUAUAUCAUUGUUUGAGAAUGAGAUCAUUAACCUAAACUUUCAGGUUUAUAAUAUGUUCAAGCUCUGAUUACUUGCAGCUCUUCUAAUUCAUUGUUUAUUCUGCUUAAAUGCAUAUGCAACAACCGGAAUCAUGUGUAUAUGUUAUGUUUUGCAUGUAUUAGCUUUCGAAAAAGACUUUGCAAGUAGAGAUGUUGAAGCUUUUGCAUCUGUUGAUAAAUUCAUCGAAACCAGUGGUGGAGAUUCUGCUGAUAACAUCAGUUGGAUUUUAUAUGGCUUUUGAUGGAGUCAAUCUUCUUGGUCAUGAUACUUAAGAAAUAUUUGAACAGCGUUGGUUAUUACUUAAUUAACUCUUUCUAUUUAUAAAUCUAAUAUACAACUCAACCUUAAUUUUUUUUUUAUGUAUAGAUUGUCUUCUAUGUGUUUAGUCCUUCGCUAUUGGAAACCGUUUAGCUGGUAGCGUAACAUAUGAAAGCUUGGUGAACAUCUGGGUUGUAUUCUCAUCACUAAGCCUUCUUCGCCUAGAUCUUCGUGGUCUCAUUGUUGGUUGAUGUGCGGCUGGGAAUCUGGGAAUAUACCAUCAAUCAUAAUCCCAACUGUUUAUAAAGACAAAGGAGAGGUCUAUUUGAAGAUCCUGAGAAUUGCCACAAAUAUGGAAUGGGUUAUGUUGCACUCUCCAUGGCCGUAAGUAGUCAUCUCACUUCUUCAAAGUUUUAUCGGUGUAUAUUUUAUUUUUGGCAUCAGCCACCAGCUAUACAUAUAUCAUACAGCUAUACAAUGAAGAAAUAAUAAUUUUCAAUUUAUAUAUUUUGUUUUCAAAAAGAAUUAUAACAAUCUUAGUUGUAACAGAUGUAGCUGAGAUUUUGUAACAUACACACAAUUCCCAAAAAUCACCAAGAACCCUUAUUGUUGCACACCUGAAAGAAUAGUUGAUCACGAGUAUGUUUCAAUGAAAAUCAUAAAUCUUCUUUCUGUAAAAAGAAAUAAAAACCCUUUGAAGACUGUUUACGAAGUUGCAGUCGAGUGCUUUGGUUUGGAGAUUUGAAUUACAGAGUUUCUUUAUCCUAUUAAGAGAUGAGUAUUUCUAGAGACAAUGAUUGUGACACACUACUUGAGAAAGACCAGGUUUUGUAGUAGAAAUUAUCUUUAAAACUCAAAUCUUUAUUGAAGACCAAGAUGAGUGUUUCUCUCGAAACUCAGAUUCUCACGCCGGAGAAGCCACUAAGUCUAAAGAAAAACUAUGUACUCAUGCUUGGUUGGUACUAUCCAAAACUCUAGAAACACGUUUUUGUGGUGUGUUUGGAAUGUUUUCAGGUUUGAUCUGAUUCCAUGAGGAGGAGAAGGAAUAGAACUUUCUUAUACUCUAGGAGAAUCACGGUUUUCAGAUCACAGACCGGUUUGUGCAAAUAUUUGCAGGAGAAGUUGUUGUGAAGAGUCUGAGAAACAUAGAUAAUGUUAUUCAUGUGCGGCUGCAAGAUUGGUUGAGGAUUGCACUCCAAACUCAUAGUUUUAACUAAGAUUAUUAUAGUUCUUUUUGAGAACAAAAUAUAUGAUUUUUAAUAGUAAUUUUUCCUCAUUGUGUGUAUGGUUAAUUUUUGGCAUCAGCCGUCAUGAUACAUAUAUGUACUUCAAUGUUAUCAGAUGAGAUCUGUUUGCAUAUGAAGUUAUUGACACUCAA